CAGUCGCCGCGGGAAAACCGAGGGUGCAAGCGUUAAUCGGAAUUACUGGGCGUAAAGCGCGCGUAGGUGGUUUGUUAAGUUGGAUGUGAAAUCCCCGGGCUCAACCUGGGAACUGCAUUCAAAACUGACUGACUAGAGUAUGGUAGAGGGUGGUGGAAUUUCCUGUGUAGCGGUGAAAUGCGUAGAUAUAGGAAGGAACACCAGUGGCGAAGGCGACCACCUGGACUAAUACUGACACUGAGGUGCGAAAGCGUGGGGAGCAAACAGGAUUAGAUACCCCCGUAGUCCCUGUCUCUUAUAC
rnacentral:rRNA from 1 species